GCUGGCUCCCAGCUUGGGAAUCAGAAGGUUUAGUGAACCAAUACAUGGAACAGAAAGUGCUGGACAGCAACUCUCAGAUUAUCAAGAGAGAGACUCUGAUUGGCUCCGCUCAUUCGUCAAGUGUCGGCUGCUUGUCCCCUCAGCUGCAGCGAGGACGGAGCAGGCUCAGCUGGUUCCGCCAUAGCUGCAGGGGCCCAGAUCUUCAGCAAGGAUUGGGGCGUCUGGGGGAAGGGAGCGGGGCAGUCCUGAGAAGGAGGCAGGGGCUUGGCAGGCAACCUGGGACAUGUCUUCUCCAUUCGCUUAACCUCCCUCUCUUCUCUUGGUCUUCCUCAGGAGGAUGACAAAAAAUAUUCUUUUCAUCCAUCCCCUCGAGCUAAACAAAAUAAUACAGACGAAAGGCCUGA